GGUCAUUCAUGCAUUUGAAGGAAGAUAACGUGCUUCAGUCAACAAUCCAUGUGCUUAUAGGGAAAAAUAUAAUUAGAAAGAAUAUAACAUAGGAGACACGAAGAAGGAAUAUUAUAAGAAAUUGAAAAGCAUCAAGUCUUCACUAGAUAUGUUAGUCUAACCCUUGGAAAAAUAAACAAUUCAACAUUAUAAGGAGAAUAAGAAUCUUUAUGAU
rnacentral:misc_RNA from 1 species